rnacentral:rRNA from 1 species
GAAUCUGCCCUCAGGAGGGGGGUAACGGUUGGAAACGACCGCUAAUACCCCAUAUGCCGAGAGGUGAAACGAAAUUCGCCUGAGGAUGAGCCCGCGUCUGAUUAGCUAGUUGGUGGGGUAAAGGCCUACCAAGGCAUCGAUCAGUAGCUGGUCUGAGAGGAUGAUCAGCCACACUGGGACUGAGACACGGCCCAGACUCCUACGGGAGGCAGCAGUGGGGAAUUUUCCGCAAUGGGCGCAAGCCUGACGGAGCAACGCCGCGUGAGGGAUGAAGGCCUCUGGGCUGUAAACCUCUUUUCUCAAGGAAGAAGAACUGACGGUACUUGAGGAAUAAGCCACGGCUAAUUCCGUGCCAGCAGCCGCGGUAAUACGGGAGUGGCAAGCGUUAUCCGGAAUUAUUGGGCGUAAAGCGUCCGCAGGCGGCCUUGAAAGUCUGUUGUUAAAGCGUGGAGCUUAACUCCAUUUCGGCGGUGGAAACUACAAGGCUUGAGUGUGGUAGGGGCAGAGGGAAUUCCCGGUGUAGCGGUGAAAUGCGUAGAUAUCGGGAAGAACACCAGUGGCGAAGGCGCUCUGCUGGGCCAUAACUGACGCUCAUGGACGAAAGCUAGGGGAGCG